CAGCAGACGCUAUGACCUGGCCGUAAACGACUUGUCAGGCGGGUAAACGAGUUAUGACUGGGAUCCGACAUCCCUUCUGGCUCUUGACGAACGCUGGCGGCGUGCUAAACACAUGCAAGAUCGAACGAAGCACUUUUACAGAUUUCUUCGGAAUGAAAGUUUUGGUGACUGAGUGGCGGACGGGUGAAGUAACGCGUAGGGUAACCUGCCUCACACAGGGGGAUAACAGUUGGAAACGGGCUGCUAAAUACCGCAUAAGCGCACAGUACCGCAUGGUACAGUGUGAAAAACUCCGGUGGUGUGAGAUGGACCCGCGUCUGAUUAGCUAGUUGGCAGGGCAACGGCCUACCAAGGCGACGAUCAGUAGCCGACCUGAGAGGGUGACCGGCCACAUUGGGACUGAGACACGGCCCAAACUCCUACGGGAGGCAGCAGUGGGGAAUAUUGCACAAUGGGGGAAACCCUGAUGCAGCGACGCCGCGUGAGCGAAGAAGUAUUUCGGUAUGUAAAGCUCUAUCAGCAGGGAAGAAGAAAUGACGGUACCUGACUAAGAAGCACCGGCUAAAUACGUGCCAGCAGCCGCGGUAAUACGUAUGGUGCAAGCGUUAUCCGGAUUUACUGGGUGUAAAGGGAGCGCAGGCGGAAGGCUAAGUCUGAUGUGAAAGCCCGGGGCUCGACCCCGGUACUGCAUUGGAAACUGGUCAUCUAGAGUGUCGGAGGGGUAAGUGGAAUUCCUAGUGUAGCGGUGAAAUGCGUAGAUAUUAGGAGGAACACCAGUGGCGAAAGGCGGCUUACUGGACGAUAACUGACGCUGAGGCUCGAAAGCGUGGGGGAGCAAACAGGAUUAGAUACCCUGGUAGUCCACCGCCGUAAACGAUGAAUACUAGGUGUCGGGAAAGCACCAGCUUUUCCGGUGGCCGCCGCAAACGCAUUAAGUAUUCCACCCUGGGGAGUACGGUCCUCUAAGGAUGAAACUCAAAUGACAUCGACGCAAGGGCGAUCAGG
rnacentral:rRNA from 1 species